rnacentral:rRNA from 1 species
GGCCCUAUGGGGUGCAGCAGGCACGAAAACUUCGCAAUGCACGAAAGUGUGACGAGGUCAUCCCGAGUCCUAGGCUUACGUCUAGGUUUUCUGAAGUGUGAAUAGCUUCUGGAAUAAGGAGGGGGCAAGAACGGUGCCAGCCGCCGCGGUAAAACCGUCUCUUCGAGUGGCUAUCGCGUUUACUGGGCUUAAAGCGCUCGUAGCAGGAUUAGUCCGUCCCACAUUAAAUACGGCUUCUCAAGGGUCCGAACUGUGUGGGAAACUGCUAAUCUUGGCAAUGGGAUAGGGGCUCCGUACAGUAGGUGUAAAGGUGAAAUUUUAUAAUCCCUACUGGACGACCGAUGGCGAAGGCAGAGCCCUGGAACAUGUGCGACUGUCAGGAGCGAAAGGAUGGGUAGCGAGCCGGAUUAGAUACCCGGGUAGUCCAUCCUGUAAACGAUGCGGAUUAAGUGUAUGGGAAGCACAUGCUUUCCAUGUGCCGUAGCGAAAGCAUUAAAUCCGCCGCCUGGGAAGUACGCUCGCAAGAGUGAAACUUAAAGGAAUUGGCGGGGGAGCAC